UACGUAGGGGGCAAGCGUUGUCCGGAAUUAUUGGGCGUAAAGCGCGCGCAGGCGGUCAUUUAAGUCUGGUGUUUAAACCUUGGGCUCAACCUGAGGUCGCACUGGAAACUGGGUGACUUGAGUACAGAAGAGGAAAGUGGAAUUCCACGUGUAGCGGUGAAAUGCGUAGAUAUGUGGAGGAACACCAGUGGCGAAGGCGACGUUUCUGGGCUGUAACUGACGCUGAGGCGCGAAAGCGUGGGGAGCAAACAGG
rnacentral:rRNA from 1 species